rnacentral:SRP_RNA from 1 species
CCGUGCUAGACGGGGAGGUAGCGGUGCCCUGUAACCCGCAAUCCGCUAUAGCGGGGUCGAAUACCUGUUUGCGGCAGUUGAUUGUCGAGGUCUGGUUUAAGCACGUAGUGUUGACGAUCGGGUUCUGCGCAACGGAAACUCACGAACCCCGUCAGGUCCGGAAGGAAGCAGCGGUAAGUGAACUUUUCCGUGUGCCGCAGGGGCGCCUGGUCUGAGCUAACGACUUAAAUGCGCUUGGUAGUCAACUGUCAAGGACAGGUGCACGG